rnacentral:rRNA from 1 species
UACGUAGGGUGCGAGCGUUGUCCGGAAUUAUUGGGCGUAAAGGGCUCGUAGGCGGUCUGUCGCGUCGGGAGUGAAAACUCAGGGCUUAACCCUGAGCCUGCUUCCGAUACGGGCAGGCUAGAGUUCGGUAGGGGAGACUGGAAUUCCUGGUGUAGCGGUGAAAUGCGCAGAUAUCAGGAGGAACACCGAUGGCGAAGGCAGGUCUCUGGGCCACUACUGACGCUGAGAAGCGAAAGCAUGGGGAGCGAACAGG